UAUUCAACUACAAGAACCUUA
rnacentral:tRNA from 3 species